CGUAUGCCGAGCUUGCGAACUGCGAACUUGUGUGACUCCCGGUUCAUCCUCUUUGUUCGGGUCAUUGGGUUGGUGUUGGAGUUGGUCACCAUAUUCUGAACGUUUCACCUAUCGUUGCGGUGUACUGUUCUUGAUCUGCUGCGAAGCGAUGAACCGCAACGGCAGUCACUCGCCUCAGCGAACUUCUGUCUGCUGCAUCUCAAAGGAGCAUGGGGACCUGAUGAUACCUUCAACUAAAGAAACCAAAUGUGCUCUCGUGUGGUCCUGACGGAAAAGUAGUAUCAACAAGAACCCUCCACUUUUUCGACCAAGUUAUCGUUAUGAGAUCCUUCUGAUGGCUUCUUACUAGGCUAUGCCGCUCCGAAGCAUUGAGAUGACGAAGCGUCGUGGUAGCUGCACCUCUGCCUUCGAAAGAUGAAUCAGUCAUUCCACACUGUGCUUACUGGCUUUGUGUAGAGUCUGGCAAAUCCGACAGACUUGGACUGCCUUUUUCAAGAAAGUUUGAAAUAGCAUCCCUUAUGCACCUGCAUUUCAAUUCCAAUCUGUAUUACAAGAAUGACACCACUCAACAGAGAUGAACAUCUGAAAGUGAAAGAGCUGGAAUGAAGAUACGUUAAUCUGUGUCAAAGGUUCUUAGUAUGUGUGCGAGUCGAGGACAUAGGUCUCAAGCUUAUUCCUGUCUUCAGAAGAGGUGACAACUAUGCUCCUUCUAUCUAUUAACCAGCUCCACUUUUUAGGGUUCCCUGUAAACUAAUGGAGCACAUCAUGUACUACCACGUUGUCAACUAAGUUGACUCUGCCAAUUUCUUUUUUUAAAUUCCAGCAUGGCUUUAGAAAAGGGUAUUCAGGCAAAACUAACGUAGUGGAAUUCGUUCACAGCAUUUCAAACUGUCUUGAUUUCUGGGUCCAUGUAGAUGUAGUAUUCUUUUUAUUUUGUAAGGGCUUUUGACACUGUGCUCUACGCUCGCGUGUUGGCCAAAGUAGCCUAAUUAAAAUUUGAUCCUGCUACCUGGAUAUGCAGUUUCUCAACUAACCGUAACUGUGGCGACAACUCGUGAGGAGAACCUAUCAUAUCGCCACCAUGCAGCAUUUGUUAUAUUACAAUCGCUUCACAUUUUAAUCUAGUCAAAAGCAAGGCCUUUUGGUGAUCGGUCUUGUAUAAUUACGUGCCCCUCCGUUAUGUAACACCACACUGGGUUCUUCAAUCUAUGAGAGAGAAAUAAAUAUAUUGCCAAGUAAAUUGUCUACAAGGCUCGUUAUUCCAUUUCGCCACACUACCACAAGCAAUUGUUAGAGUAGUGGCCCAGGGUAUGAAGCUCGCCACUAAUCAUCAUUCAAACAAAGUUCAUAAUGUAAAAUGCUUUACUCAGAACACUGGCUUAACACAACAAUUAAGAAUAAAGAGAGUAAACGUU